rnacentral:rRNA from 1 species
UACGGAGGGAGCUAGCGUUGUUCGGAAUUACUGGGCGUAAAGUGCGCGUAGGCGGUUUUUUAAGUCAGAGGUGAAAGCCCAGUGCUCAACACUGGAACUGCCUUUGAAACUGGAAAACUUGAAUCUUGGAGAGGUCAGUGGAAUUCCGAGUGUAGAGGUGAAAUUCGUAGAUAUUCGGAAGAACACCAGUGGCGAAGGCGACUGACUGGACAAGUAUUGACGCUGAGGUGCGAAAGCGUGGGGAGCAAACAGG